rnacentral:lncRNA from 1 species
CUUUGAGUUUCCUUUUCCAAGUGGAAUGAAGAUCGAGUGUGAGUUUAAUACCAACACCUGUGAAUUUGGAAUAAACUAUAUCAAAUUAGCCAAUAAUUAAAUUAAUUGUUUCAAGUUCCACAUUAAUAUGAGGUGGGGUGAGUUCAGAGAAGGAGAGGGAUUUGGUUAUUUCAGAUCAACUACAAUAUUACAAUAUUAGUUUAAUACUGUAUUUUUGUUUAGUUUAUUACAAUAUUAGAUCAACUACAAUACUACAAUAUUACAAUAUUAGUUUAGUUAUUCACAAUAUUACAAUUUAUUAGUUUAUUAUUGUAAUUUUUACUAGAUUAAUACUGAAUACGUACUGAUCAUAAAAAUAUAUUGAUCCACAGACCAAAAAAAUUCAGAUUUAUUCCAUGAGAACCACAAUUAAGAGAGAAAACUGGCAUGUCCAGAGAAAAUAUAGUUAUCUUAACAAAAACAAAGAACAUAUCUCGAUACUCAGCAUGUGUAGAUAUUCCCUAUAAAAAUAUAGGAGUAAAUGAAACUACUGGAUUUUGAAUAAAUACUCAUCAUCAAUCCUAAUAUUCAUUCAUACUGGUGUCUAUUUCACGCAAAAUGGUUUCUUUUUCAGAAAUGAAGUAUUUCACCCAAAAGUAAAUGAAGCUAUCACAUGUUCUUAGAAAUGAUACCAUCAUGCUUCACAAGUUUACAUAUAUAAUAAUCAUUGAAAAUUGCAAUUUUAAGAAUAUAAAUAACGGAAUGGAAUGGACUAGAGGUGAUGAACUUACCUGGAAGAUGCUUGACGGCGGACAGGAGUGAACAAGAAGUUGUUCGUCGGAAGAAUGGAGUGAUCGUCGGCGAACUGGAGGGAUCGUCGGCGGACUGGAGGGAUCGUCGCCGGACUUGAGGGAUCGUCGCCGGACAGGAAGAAUCGCCUAAAGGAUUUGGAGAGUUUUAACUUCAAGAACGAUUUGGGGAAAUCGAUUUGGGGUUUUGGGUGUUUGAUUUGGGGAAAGUCGAUUUGGGGAAAUCGAUUUGGG